UACGUAGGGUGCGAGCGUUAAUCGGAAUUACUGGGCGUAAAGUGUGCGCAGGCGGCUUCGCAAGUCGAGUGUGAAAUCCCCGAACUUAACUUGGGAAUUGCGCUCGAAACUACGGAGCUGGAGUGUGGCAGAGGAAGGUGGAAUUCACGUGUAGCGGUGAAAUGCGUAGAGAUGUGGAGGAACACCAGUGCGAAGGCGACUCUCUGGGCUGUAACUGACGCUGAGGCGCGAAAGCGUGGGGAGCAAACAGG
rnacentral:rRNA from 1 species